rnacentral:misc_RNA from 1 species
CCGAAGUUUAACAUAUAAGCGGACAAACACAGAAGCCCAGUGCCUGCAACACAGUUCAUUUCCAGCCCACUACACCUGUCGAAGGUCGACCACGCUUCCGUCUUCCAGAUCUCGGCAAUCUCCAUCCCCGCUACGCCAUGGCUGCUGCCUCCUCCCCAACCUUCCCGCCGCCGGCGACCGACGUCGCCGCUCCAGGCGUCCCCGAUCUCUCGAUCCCCUACGACCUGGCCACCCGCGGGCAGUGGCAGGCGCUCUUCUCCCACCUCUCCCAUCCGGCCCACACGCCCCAUCCGCACCACCGCCUCCUCCUCUCCGCUCUCUCCGCCCUCUGCCUGGCCAAGCUCCGACGCUUCCCCGACGCCGCUGCGCUUCUAGCUUCCCUCCACCCGGAUCCGGCCUGCCCGCCGCCACCCUUCCUCAUCCGCCUCCUCCAUGCUCUCCUCCCACUCUUCCUCCCCGACCGCCCCCUCGCGCUCGACCGCCUCUACACGCUCCUCUCCUCCGUCCGCGCACGCCCCAACGCCGGGCACCCCGAGUGGCGCCGCCGCGACGCGCUCGUCGCGUCCGUCCUCGCCGCCGACCACCUCGCCCACCGCGAGUUCGACGUCGCACUCGCGCUCCUCGCCGACAUCGCCGGCCGCUACCCGGGCGACCCGGUGCUCCUCUCGCGCCUCGCCUACGCGCACCUCCAGAUCGGCAACCUCGGCGCGGCCUCGGCUGCCUUCCGCCACGUGGAGUCCGUGGCCGCCGCGUCCGAGGACCCGACGCGGCAUGCCAACCUCCUGGCCCGCAACCGCGCGCUGGAGUGCAUCGUGGGCAAGGACUACGCGGCGGCGGUGCGGGAGUACGAGCGCUGCAUCGAGGCGGACCCCGCGGACGCCGUGGCCCUCAACAACAAGGCGCUGUGCCUCAUGUACUCGCGGGACCUCGGCGACGCCAUCAAGGUGCUGGAGGGUGCCCUCGAGAGGGUCCCCACGGCGGCGCUCAACGAGACGGUGGUGGUCAACCUGUGCAGCAUGUACGAGCUCGCCUUCGUCAACCACGGCGAGGUCAAGAGGAGCCUUGCUGAGUGGAUCGCCAGGGUUGCGCCCGACGACUUCGACACCUCCUGCACGCGCAUGUAGGAGGUUCUCCUGGGAUAGAUGCUGCAUUUCUGUGUGCACGUGCUGACCUAGGCCUUGUUGGGGUUCUCGUGAAGUUACAAUAGUCAAUCAAACUCUCCUUACCAACGUGCAUCUCAACUUCCAUAUUUGUCACCUCACCAUCACAAGUGUUGUGAUCCAAAGUAGCCUCAUCCAUAACUUUUUUGUCAUCUUCAGCUUCCUCGUCAGGAAUCUCAUCUUGAAUCUUACCAUCUGAUAACUGGUUGGGAUUUGACUCUGUAAUAACAUAACAAGAAGCAUGAUUUACAUCGGUAUCUAUCCCUUGCUUCACUACCUCAGUUUCUGAAUUCUGCGUCUCCCUGUCAUCCUCCACCUCGCCUUCCUCAGUCUCCUCCGGCACCUUUGGCGCAUCAUUAGAAUCCUUAAUAGUAUCUUUGAAAGAGCUCAUAAUCUUUGACGUUGCAUCCUCCAUGCAGAACCCUUCUACAGCCUUCGCUGUCAAUGGUGUCCCUUCCCUCAGUGCCUCUGUAUCAUGAGGCCUCACCUCAUCACUCCCCCGAUUGCCGUGUCGCUCCCUCCGAAACCCAGGUGCCCCAUCUUCAUCCUUAUCCUCCUCGUAGCGCCGGCCAUUUGGAAAUGGCCUUCUCCUCUCCUUCUCCCUGUCCCUCCCUGAAUCCAAAUACCCCCUCCUGUAUUUCCCAUACUUCAUCUUCCCUCUUCCAUUGUAGCUGCCACGGCUGCAAUCAUCUCUGCUACUGGUGCUACUACUAGUGUCAUUGGCUCGCCUAGGAUUAUUGUUGUAUUCAUCUUUGUACCGCCUCCGGCCAUAACCCCCCCGGGGUUCCUGCUGUUGCAGCUGCGGUGGCGGAGGAAGAGGAUGAUCAGGCCACGCGCCAGAGAUGCCGGCGCCGCGCUGCAGAGCGGCCGGGGGGAGCACGCCCUGGGCGACCAGAUACUCGGUGGCGAGGCGACCGGCCUCCAUAAGCACCUCGUACUUGCGCUCUAGCGACGGCGGCGGCGGCGGCGGCGCCGGAGGAAACGGUGGCGGAGGAAGCGGAGCGUAGCAUGGCUGCUUGGGGCCGCGAGGAUGCCCUCCGCGGCCGAACGGCAGCGGCGGCGGCGGCAAGCGGCUGCGGUGGUUGUACUGCAUCGGAAAGGUCACACUUUUUCUCCACGGAAUCCACGAGAAAUUCGUCAGGAAUUCUGAGGCAAAGACCAAAAAGAAAAAGUGUUACGAUUUCUGCGACUUAUAUCGCGGCGAGGAACAGGAAACCCUAAAAUGAGGGCAAGAACUCACGAGUCACGAUUCAGCUGCCAGGCCGGAAUUACCACUGGCUAAUUCAGUUCUUGUUUCUUUCUACCUGUGAUUCUACCCUCUGUUCUUGAGAGACGAUCGAUGCGGGAGAAGGGGA